UACAGAGGUCCCAAGCGUUGUUCGGAUUCACUGGGCGUAAAGGGUGCGUAGGCGGUCGGGUAAGUCUGAUGUGAAAUCUCCGGGCUCAACCCGGAAAUGGCAUUGGAUACUAUUCGGCUCGAGGUCUGGAGGGGGGACUGGAAUACUUGGUGUAGCAGUGAAAUGCGUAGAUAUCAAGUGGAACACCAGUGGCGAAGGCGAGUCCCUGGACAGAUCCUGACGCUGAGGAGCGAAAGUGUGGGGAGCGAACAGG
rnacentral:rRNA from 1 species